rnacentral:rRNA from 1 species
UACGAAGGGGGCUAGCGUUGCUCGGAAUCACUGGGCGUAAAGGGCGCGUAGGCGGCCAUUCAAGUCGGAGGUGAAAGCCCAGGGCUCAACCCUGGAAUUGCCUUCGAUACUGUCUGGCUAGAGACCGGAAGAGGUAAGUGGAACUGCGAGUGUAGAGGUGAAAUUCGUAGAUAUUCGCAAGAACACCAGUGGCGAAGGCGGCUUACUGGUCCGGUUCUGACGCUGAGGCGAAAGCGUGGGGAGCAAACAGG